rnacentral:rRNA from 1 species
AGAGUACCACGAGACACGUGAAACCUUGUGGGAAGCAGGGGGGACCACCCUCCAAGCCAAAAUACUGAUAUCGACCGAUAGCGCAUAGUACCGUGAGGGAAAGGUGAAAAGAACCCCUGGCGGGGAGUGAAAGAGAACCUGAAACCGUAUGUCUACAAACAGUCGAAGUCUGUAUAUAUAUCAGGACGACGGCGUGCCUAUUGAAGAAUGAACCGACGAGUUACUGUUGCUAGCGAGGUUAAGUGGAAAACAUGGAGCCGCAGCGAAAGCGAGUCUGAACAGGGCGUUCAGUUAGUAAUAGUAGACCCGAAACCGUAGUGAUCUAUCCAUGGCCAGGUUGAAGCACAGGUAAAAUUGUGUGGAGGACCGAACUCGUGAGCGUUGAAAAGCUUUGGGAUGAGUUGUGGAUAGGGGUGAAAUGCCAAUCGAACACGGAGAUAGCUGGUUCUCCCCGAAAUAGCUUUAGGGCUAGCCUCGAGGUAGAGAGUAUAGGCGGUAGAGCACUGAUCGGGCUAGGGGCCAUACCGGUUACCGAACCUAGUCAAACUACGAAUGGCUAUACUUAUACUCGGGAGUCAGACAGUGAAUGAUAAGGUCCAUUGUCAAGAGGGAAACAGCCCAGAACACCGACUAAGGUCCCCAAUGUUACACUAAGUGGCGAAGGAUGUGGAAUUUCCAAAACAACCAGGAUGUUGGCUUAGAAGCAGCCACCAUUUAAAGAGUGCGUAAUAGCUCACUGGUCGAGAGACUCUGCGCCGAAAAUGUCCGGGGCUAAAGUGUAAAACCGAAGUCGUGUCAUAUGCAGCAAUGUAUAUGGGUAGGGGAGCGUUCUCAUCGGGCUGAAGCAGUACCGUAAGGAGUUGUGGACUGAUGAGAAGUGAGAAUGUCGGUAUGAGUAGCGAAAAGAAUGGUGAGAAUCCAUUCCACCGAAAGCCUAAGGGUUCCUGAGCAACGAUCGUCGUCUCAGGGUAAGUCGGGACCUAAGCCGAGGCGGAAAAGCGUAGGCGAUGGACAACAGGUUGAAAUUCCUGUACCGGUGUGAAUCGUUUGAUCGAUGGAGUGACACAGUAAGGUAGGUCAGCACGCGAU